rnacentral:tRNA from 2 species
GCCCGGCUAGCUCAAUCAGGCAGAGCGGCGGAUUCUUAAUCCGUAGGUUAUAGGUUCGAUUCCUAUGCCGGGUA